GGAUGGCUGAAAUAUGAUGAAUUACACAAAACCUUGGUUUAUAAAGUGGGAGUGUAUAAGCUUCCAACUCUCAUGUCAUCCAGAA